AUGGGAGCGAUCUGUAGAAAUCAGCAUGGCUUGUUUCUGGGAGCCUCAGCUGUUGUUUUCCCCAACCUGUCAGACCCAACUACAUUGGAGGCUAUGGCCAUCAGAGAGGCGUUAUCGCUAGCUGACGACCUUUAUGAACGGAAGAUUCAUGUUGCCAGCGAUUGCAAAGUUGCAGUGGAAGACAUCCAUCAGAAGAGCAGAGGGAGUUAUGGUGCAAUUGUGCAUGAAAUAGUGCAGCACACGUCUACCUUUCAAACUUGUAAUAUUAAGCAUGAAUUUCGUAGCUCGAACUUCGAGGCUCGCAAAGUACGCUUUAUCAUUAGGAGCUGGCCGCCAUGUUUGGUUAGGCCAGCCCAAUGGACUUGGUUUCGUCCCUGUAAACGUUGUGACGGAGUAAUAAAGCUUUGCAGUUUGUCUAAAAAACCAAGAUGA
rnacentral:rRNA from 1 species